rnacentral:misc_RNA from 1 species
GCAGCUGCCCUCAGGUCGCUAAUGUAGACGAACACGGGCUGGAAGAACAUGAUCUUAAUUUCUGUACAUAUUCUUUGUUUCGGUCUUUUUGGUGGACCUAUCCUCAUAGAUGCUUCAGCUCAGAACAAUGGUCACAACGAGGGUGGAGGGAGACCAUUUGACCCAAAUGAACUUAUGAAACAAUUAAUGCAACUGAGGACGGAUCAAAGUACUUUCGGUUCUUACAACCCACUAGACGUCAAACUGGCAGCAAAGGUUUACUUCCAGAAGGGCGAUCCUCCCGGAGGGAGCCCCCGGCCGGAAAGCGCCCUUGCUGCUCCGAAUGGCUUUGAUCCAAAUGGAGAAAGCAUGUUUGCCGGUCACCAAUCGGAAAUAUGGAAAUUUGCUUCCAAUUACAAUCCCAAUGAACACAUACAAAAUUAUGUUUCGGAGACGACGGACGUCGGUUCACUCGGAAGUAUUAAAACCCCGCAAGGAGGACUUAAUCAAGGGGUGCCUUCAGAAACCCAUCUCAAUGGUCACUUCAAUGCCAACACGUUAAACAGUAAUUUGAUGACAGCCAUUGACAAGCAUAAGUUUAAGCCUGGUAUAGGCUCAUCUUCGGCGUUUGCAGCCCCUGUGAGCGCCAUGAGUGUUCCCGAGCUGUCUGGAAACCAGCUACCAGGGAGUUUGCACAUGGAAACCAACUUUAACCCGAAUCAUUUAAAUCAUGAACUGUUUAACAACCUUGACUACAAUCCCCAAGCUGUUAAUUCAGAAAUCAUAGUUCAACAUCAUAAUUCUCUAAUUGGACAAACACAGACUCACGGAGCGAGUGAAAACAGCGGACAAACAAGCAAACAUGAUGGUGUCAUCGGUAUAACAGGAUUACAAAAUGGUGGAACCCAGACUCAGAAUAAUGGUGGAACAUCAAAUGGCGUGAAACCACUGGCUGGUGGAACUGUGAAUCAAAAUGGCGGAAAGGAAAAUGGAGUAACGGAUACAGAAAACGGGGGUACAAUAACGCCAAAUAGCAAUGUACCACAAGUUGGUGUAACAUCCGGUGUUAACGGGGGAACAGGGAUAACCGUAAAUGGGGGAAAUACUGGUGUAACUACAGGCAGCAACACCCACACCUCAAUUCUACCUCAUUAUCAUAUUGUGUUAAACAGUAAAGGGGAACAUGUGCUCGUACAAGAAACAGAAACACCGGGAAAGUUCAUCGUUAUAAAAACCAUAGCCGAAGAAAAACUUGCAAAUUAUUUGAUUGGAAAACUGUCUUCUGGCACAAGCAAAGGAUCCCUUGCUCCUAAGUCGCUGUCUGCAUUUCUGUCUGCACAGCUUCCUUCUACUUUCAAUAAAGAACCUAGUCAACUUAUUGAGGCAGUGUCGCCACUUCCCGGCCACAUGGGCAGCUACAACGGGAUGAAUGGGGACAUGCCAUCACUACAAACAAAGCUGUUUGGAACUGACACUGCCCAUGCUACAGGAAUAGGAAAGUUAGGAGACGAGACCAAUGGACAGAUCCCGGGUGUUUUUGGGAUAGGUUCUUUUAGGAGAGAAUUUCAAUCAAGUAAUUCAGAGAAACACGAUGGUACUUCAUUUGGAGCUGUUCACCAAGUGAAUACAAAUCCUCGUGUUUCCGCUACUGGAAUCGGGAGUCAUGGCUCCGACACUCUGUCUGAUUCAUAGAUGGAUGGUCGGUCUAGAUCACUCCGAGGGAAUCGUUAAUGAAAUCGGUUUUGGACGUGCAUUAAUAUUUAGAGAAAUAACAAAAAAAUUGAACUGUAAAUAUGUUGAAGUCCGGCGAAAAUAAUAUCAAAAUACCCAAACAACAAGAUCAGAAAUAAAAUGCAACGUUU